GAUGAACGCUGGCGGCGUGCCUAAUACAUGCAAGUCGAGCGAACAGAUGAGGAGCUUGCUCCUCUGACGUUAGCGGCGGACGGGUGAGUAACACGUGGAUAACCUACCUAUAAGACUGGGAUAACUUCGGGAAACCGGAGCUAAUACCGGAUAAUAUAUUGAACCGCAUGGUUCAAUAGUGAAAGACGGUUUUGCUGUCACUUAUAGAUGGAUCCGCGCCGCAUUAGCUAGUUGGUAAGGUAACGGCUUACCAAGGCAACGAUGCGUAGCCGACCUGAGAGGUGGUCCGCCCCCAGUGGAAUUGAGCCCCGGCCCGACCCCCGCCGGGAGGAGGCAGAGGGGAUUCUCCCGCAAGGGCCAAAAGCCUGCCGGAACACCGCGGGGGGAGGGAUGAGGUUUUCGGGAUCUUAAACCUUUUUUAUGGGGAAAAAAAAAUUGUGUAGGUACCUAUGCACUUCUGGCGGUUCCCUAACCAGAAACCCACGCCAAACUCCGCC
rnacentral:rRNA from 1 species